rnacentral:lncRNA from 1 species
AUAAUUAAAAAAAAAAAACUUCAAAUACCAUUCCUACAGUUACACACUUUCUCACUUUAGUAUCAUAUUAUUUAAAGUGUAUCAAUUUAGUGCCAUGUGGUUUAUUUUUAUUUUUUUAUUAUCGAUUUCACUAAUUUUUUUCGUUAAAUUAGUGACAAAGUUAAAACUAAAGAGUACAAAAGUAAAUAUUCGAGAAAUCUAAGUGGGAUAUUGUCACGUCUCGGAUUACUACGUUUUUACGGGCACGUCAACAAACCCGUCGUAUACACAAGAAUUUUCCGUGUAUACGAAACGAUAGCUAUAUCUGCAAACAGAAUAUAACUACAGCAGGAGUACAGAGCUGCUAAAGCUAAGCACAUAUAUAAAAACAUAAUAAGCCCAUGGUACAUACAAUAUCUAAAGUACAACCUCGAUUCUGAAAGUAUAACAAAAUAUAACUGUAUGUACACGGUAACAACCUAAAACUAUCUUUGAAGGGGUACUCCUCUAGCACAGUGAUCAGGGAUGGUAGGAUUUAGCUCGCAACUCCCUUACCACCGUUAGAAUCAACAGCAUCAGCAGGAGACAAGGCUCUGCAAAAAAGUGACAAUAACUGAGUGUGAGAACUACUACAGAACAGAGUAGUUCUCAAUGGGUACCGU